rnacentral:rRNA from 1 species
GAAACCCUGGUGGAAGCUCGAAGCGGUUCUGACGUGCAAAUCGAUCGUCUGAUUUGGGUAUAGGGGCGAAAGACUAAUCGAACCAUCUAGUAGCUGGUUCCCUCCGAAGUUUCCCUCAGGAUAGCUGGAAUCCGAGUGCGUGCAGUUUUAUCAGGUAAAGCGAAUGAUUAGAGGCCUUGGGGUUGAAACAACCUCAACCUAUUCUCAAACUUUAAAUAGGUAAGAAGUCCGACUUGCUCAAUUGAAGCCGGACGUCSAAUGCAGGGUUCCAAGUGGGCCAUUUUUGGUAAGCAGAACUGGCGAUGCGGGAUGAACCGAAAGGCGGGCUAAGGUGCCGAAGUCGACGCUCAUCAGACCCCAYAAAAGGUGUUGGUUGAUCCAGACAGCAGGACGGUGGCCAUAAAAGUCGGAAUCCGCUAAGGAGUGUGUAACAACUCACCUGCCGAAUCAACCAGCCCUGAAAAUGGAUGGCGCUCAAGCGUCGCACCCACACCCGCCCGUUGGUCCGAGUCGGCUGGUCCAACGUGUAGNAGGGCGCAGCGGUAGUGAAGCAGCCCAGGGCGCGAGCCCGGGUGGAACUGCCGCCGGUGCAGAUCUUGGUGGUAGUAGCAAAUAUUCAAAUGAGAACUUUGAAGACUGAAGUGGGGAAAGGUUCCAUGUGAACAGCAGUUGGACAUGGGUGAGUCGGUCCUAAGGGACAGGUCAAUUCCGAUCAAGCGCGCAGCCUCGGCUUCGGUCGCGGAGGCGCCUCCUCCCGAAAGGGAAUCAGGUCAAUAAUCCUGAACCGGAAUGCGGAUAGGGUCGAAGUCUUCGGCCAUCGACCACGGCGGCAACGCGAGCGAACUCGGAGACGCUGGCGGGGGCUCCGGGAAGAGUUCUCUUUUCUUCUUGACGGGCCGACCCCCUGGAAUGGGAUUGCCCCRAGAUAGGGUCUGGUGUCCGGCAAAGCGCUGCACCUCUUGCAGCGUCCGGUGCGCUUCCGACAGCCCGUGAAA